ACAAAAAUAAACAAAUAAUUCAAAAAUUCAUGGAGCUUCACUUCGAGCGAAGUCAUCAGAUCCAACGAGCCGUUAAAAUCUACCACGAAGAAGAUUUGCACGAAAGACUGUCAGAGAUGGUCCUACCAAUAAAUUUUCUCUAUUGAAAAGUCAUCAAGUAUUGAAUAGUAUUCUGGACUCAUGAUUAUGACUGUGUAUCGAAAGAGUCGAAGAGAAACGGGAGAUGAAGAUGGUGAUAGUGGUUAGAAUCUGUUUCCAACGGACGCGAUAGAAAAUAAAUAAA